UACGGAGGGUGCGAGCGUUGUCCGGAAUCACUGGGCGUAAAGGGCGCGUAGGUGGCCUGUGGACGUCUGCGGUGAAAGCCCGGCGCUCAACGCCGGGUCGGCCGUGGAUACUCUCGGGCUUGAGCUUACUAGAGGCAGAUGGAAUUCCGGGUGUAGCGGUGGAAUGCGUAGAGAUGUGGAGGAACACCGAUGGCGAAGGCAGCCUCCUGGGCCAGCACUGACGCUCAUGCACGAAAGCGUGGGGAGCAAACAGG
rnacentral:rRNA from 1 species